ensembl:lncRNA
UGAUCCAGCACAGCUGAUUUAAAGGCUAAAUGACCUCCUCAACAUGUGUUGAAGUUCUCCUGCUAAUGAACUAAUCAUGUGAUCCAGGUGUGUUGACCAGGGUGAGAUCUCAAACCUGCAGGAGACCCUCGAGGCCUGCAGUCCCCCACCUGUGUUGCAGAAUAAAUCCACACCCGCAGGACGUGAACCUUGGACCUGCAGUGCCCGAGUCUAAACUUUGCAUCUUUACUUUAUCCCAGCGUCUGACGUGCACAUCGACUGCUUCAUGUAAAAAUGUGAAAAACUAUUUUCAUGGAGACAAACCAGAAAAAAACUAAGAAAUCCUAAAUAUUCCUAAAUCAGUUCAGCUAAAACAGGAACAAGUCUGCUGCCUUGCUCAAAGGAAGUUGGUAACAUCUGUGCUUCAUUAUUGUCCUCCAGUACAAAAGGUUCUGGAUCAGAUCCUCAAACUAACAGGAGGUGGAGGACUCGCUGUCUCCGCUGCUGGAGUUCUCAGACUGGCUGCGGUUGAUGGGCGGGGCUCCGAGGGGCCUCUGGCCCUGCUGGGUCUCCUGGUUUAAAGACAAACAACACAAAAGAGGAAAGUAAGACACACCUAAAGACUUUCAGUCAAUCUGGACCUCGACUCGUACGGUUUCAGGAUCUGGAGCUUCUGUUUUGACUGAAGACUCGCCUCCAACGUUUCCAUCAUAGUUCCAACUGAAGAAAACAAGAUGAUCACGAAACACGAUUGGAACAGGACAAAAGCUGUGAUGAAAUGUUUCAGCAAUUUUCUUUGUUUACGUCAAUAAACCAAAACCGUUAGUAAACCACGUGGAUCAACUAGUCACUGAACGACUGCAUGGACACAGGAGGUGUGGCAUCAGGAGGUGUGGCCUCAGGAGGUGUGGCCUCAGGAGGUGUGGUCUCAGAGGUUUGGCUUCAGGUGGUGUGGCCCCAUAGGGGGUGUGGUCUCAGAGGUGUGGCCUCGAGAGGUGUGGCCUCGGGAGGUGUGGCUUCAGGAGGUGUGGCCACGGGGCUGAAAACACCUGAAUUCAAAGAUAAUGAGCUGUGGCCCAAAACGUUUGUCUGUGUAGAGUUUAAGCUCACUGGGUCUGGAGUGUUUUUGUUCUUUGAUUCUGAUCAUUCUGUUAUUUUAUGGUUUUUCAUGGUUUAGUUUGUAUUUCUGCUCCUUUACUGUUCUUGUGCCUCCCUUGUGUUACGUCUAGUCGUCCUUGUCUCCAUGUUGGUGUAUUUCCUGUUCUACUUUGCCGUGUCCUGUGUUAGUCUUUACAGUGUUGCUCUCCCUCCCGUCUCGUCAUGUCCGAUUAGUUUCGGCUGCGUUCCCCUCCUGUUUCCUGUUUCUGUGUAUUUCCCUCUGGAUUACUUCUGCUUCGUAUCCAAAAUAACUUUAUUGCCUUUGCUUCUCUUAUUGCCCGAAAAAGAAUUUUGUUGUCGUGGAAAUCAUGUCAGCCAGCAUUAAAGUCUGGUUACACGACAUCCUAGGACUCCUAAAACUGGAGAAGAUAAAUUCUCCCUCAGAGGCUCAUCUGAUAGAUUUGUUACUCACUGGAAACCAUUACUUAAAUACUUACCGUAGCUUCCAGCACAAGAAAUCUCUUUGUAGUCCAUCAUACGCCCGUGCACAAACGCUCCAGCUGCUUCCAGCAGUGGCUGUUCCACCUUGUAAGAUUACUUCAUUUAGGAUACUCCAGCAUUAUCGAUUUACUUUGACUGAGGAGCAAAUGUCAUUAAUAUCGAUAUUAAUUAGAGUUAAUUAAUGUUGAUUAAUGUCAAUAUGAAUUCACAGGAAUGAGCCCUUUAUUGUUGGUCUUCAUUAUUUGUUUUGAUGUAUGGGUUAAUGUCACGGCUAGACGGUCCUCACCGGUAGCCUUGCCAAUUUUUGUUGUGUUAGUGUGUACUUUGUGGUGUUCUCCUCUCCAUCCUGUGCAUGUGUGUUUGUAUGCUGGAACAUGUACUUCUGGAAGCCGUGGCACGGAAUGGCAGCUGACCCGGGGGGAGGAUCCUGAGCUGGAAUCGUCGCACCUGUGCGUAAUCGCUUCGCCGGCUGCUACUAAUCCGAAGCAGACCUAUUUAACGGUGCAGUCGAGUCACAACCAACGCUGGAACGUCGAGCUAAACCGGGAUCCAGGGAUCGGAGGAGGAGCGGGCACAAGUCACUGCACUGUCACCACGGGGAGAAGCCACCGUGUCACUGCACUGCCCUUUUUGGAUUACAGACUCAAACUGUUGCCUUAUUUUUUCACUGUGAAUAAAUUCACUGUCACUCUGCAAGGAGUCUCGCACCUGAGUCCUUUAACCCAAUUCACCGUGACAGUUAAUCCAUCUUUCUGUAACAUAGUCACCUUCAAAUUAUUGGGGGGUAUUCAUGCCAUCUAUGUUAUUCAUGUUUACUGGAUGUUAUAAAGAAAGAAGAGACGAUCAUUUCUGUCUGUACCUUUGUGCUUAGUGUCUGCAUUUGAUAAUAAAACGAACACAACAGCAGUUUAAAUAUCAGUGCGUCGAAUUCAGACGUCACAACAUUUAAACCGAGUUUCAUUUGCAUCUAAGUGACAGACUCCUGUUUAAAAAGCGUCAGAAUUUCAUUUUUCUUGACUUUAUUCACUUUGUGAACGUUGAUAAACU